rnacentral:rRNA from 1 species
UACACUCCUACGGGAGGCAGCAGUGAGGAAUAUUGGACAAUGGGUGGAAGCCUGAUCCAGCCAUCCCGCGUGCAGGAAGACGGCCCUAUGGGUUGUAAACUGCUUUUAUCUGGGGAUAAACCUACUUACGUGUAAGUAGCUGAAGGUACCAGAAGAAUAAGCACCGGCUAACUCCGUGCCAGCAGCCGCGGUAAUACGGAGGGUGCAAGCGUUAUCCGGAUUUAUUGGGUUUAAAGGGUCCGUAGGCGGACUGAUAAGUCAGUGGUGAAAUCCGACAGCUUAACUGUCGAACUGCCAUUGAUACUGUUAGUCUUGAGUAAGGUUGAAGUGGCUGGAAUAAGUAGUGUAGCGGUGAAAUGCAUAGAUAUUACUUAGAACACCAAUUGCGAAGGCAGGUCACUAAGUCUUAACUGACGCUGAUGGACGAAAGCGUGGGGAGCGAACAGGAUUAGAAACCCCUGUAGUCC